rnacentral:rRNA from 1 species
GCGGCACGCCUAACACAUGCAAGUCGAGCGAGGUACUUGUACCUAGCGGCAGACGGGUGCGUAACAUGUGGGAAUCUGCCUUUUGGUUCGGAACAACAUGGGGAAACCUGUGCUAAUACCGGAUAAGUCCUUACGGAGAAAGAUUUAUCGCCGAAAGAUGAGCCCGCACUAGAUUAGCUUGUUGGUAAGGUAAAAGCUUACCAAGGCAACGAUCUAUAGCUGAUUUGAGAGGAUGAUCAGCCACACUGGGACUGAGACACGGCCCAGACUCCUACGGGAGGCAGCAGUGGGGAAUCUUGCACAAUGGAGGAAACUCUGAUGCAGCGAUGCCGCGUGAGUGAAGAAGGCCUUUGGGUUGUAAAGCUCUUUUGUCGGGAAAGAUAAUGACUGUACCCGAAGAAU